GGGCAAGAUGGCUGCGCCCACUGGCUUCGCUGGGGGGGAGGGACUGUUACUCACACGCGCCAGUCUGGGUUCAGAUCAGUUCUGUUCUCUGGUCUCCCAAGGCCCUUAAUUUAUGGGGUCCCCGCAGAUGGAAGUUAUCCCCCCGUCAGCGGGUCUCCACUGAAUCAGCAGCAGGAGUCCUGGAUGAUCCCCCGGUCGCACGGCCCCUCCCCCGCUCCUUCCUGACGCGCGCGCCGCAGCAAUCUCAGACUCUAAGGGAGGGAGCGAUGUUCUCUCCUACCGUUCCAGUGCCUCCAAAGGUAUUGGUUACUGAUUAUUUGUACCUGACAGGUGGGAUCCAAAGAAACCCCCUCCCCCAGGACUCUGAAGGUGGUGAGCAACCAGGUGCUGGCGUCCCCAGAGCCCCUUGAGCUUGCUGCUUUCUCACUGGGCCUGGAGUUUGGUGUUCCUGCAAAAAUGCUUCAUCUUCAAAGAGAUUCAUGGGAAAGAUCCUGACAAGUACUUUAAAAUGCGGGUUUCUGAUACUUUUAAGAUAGUGACACCGAACUGGAAAAAACAUCACAACAGAUUAUGAAUGGGCAAGCUUCAUACCUGAUGCUGUAUGGGCCACUCAAGAAAGUUCAACAAAACACCUGAUGACAGCAUCAAAGACAGUCAAACUGCAAACCAGGAAAGUCCAUCAGACUAAAACUGCCAUCCUCAUUGCACCAUCUGAAGAUGCUUCCAACCCAAAUCUAGAAAUGGUCUCAACUGGCUGCUCUCCAAACUCAAAAAAUGAAUUUAUAAUUUGCUCCAACUAUUAACCUUUGUUUUUUCUCUUGUGUCCACAGAAGUGCCUUUAAUUAAAUUACCUG
rnacentral:lncRNA from 1 species